AGGGGGUAGGGCCCUGUGGGGGCCGCCGGCUGCAUUUCUACCGCCGUAGAGGUCAUUCCUGCGCUUCUGGGGCACCGGAGAACGGGAUUGGUGGCACUCCCGCCCCAGGGCCCCGCUUCCAAGACCCCAAGUCCCCAGGACCUGCGCUCCCGGCCCCGCCUUCUAACAGGCCCGCCCUCCCCCACGCCCGGCCUCCCGAGGGCCCGUCCCCCUCAGAACACCGCUUUUGAGACCCCAGGGCCCCGCCUCCGAUAAGCCCGCCGCUCCGGUACUCCGGCCCACGGCCCCGCCUCCCCCAGGGCCGGGUUGGCAGAGGCCCCGGGUUUCAGGCCUUUGGCUCCCGCAUGCCUCCUCUCUCUGGCCGUCUUGCUCUGGGUCUGUGUCCGCGCCGCCUCCUUUCCUUCCUUCCUCGCUCAGAUCUCCCUCUGUUCGCCUUUCCCUCCGCUAGGCCUUCUGCCCUGCCUCGCCCCACGCUUCGGCGACCCCUGUCCAACGUCUCUGCCACCACCCUAAGCCUCCGACUCUGCUCUUCGGCCAGGGUCUUUUGGAGCUUCAGUCGGGCCCUGACACUUCCUUACACCUCGACGCGGCCCAGGCGGGGGCUCUCCGGCCUGCGGCCUUGCUCCUGCGGGCCUUCGGCCUCGCCCCCUCACUCGCAGCUGUUCCUCGAGCUCUGGCUAGGAUGGGCCCCUGGGGGCGGCUGGGCCAUGAGGACCGCACUCGUGUACCAUGAGGAAAUGACAGCCGCCCGGCUGCUCUGGGAAGACCCUGAGUGUGAGAUCGAGCGUCCCGAGCGCCUGACCGCAGCCCUUGAGCGCCUGCAGCAGGGGGGCCUGGAGCAGAGGUGUCUACAGUUGGCAGCUCGAGAGGCCUCAGAGGCAGAGCUGGGCCUGGUACACAGGUCAGAUCCCGGGGAGCCACCUCCCAGAGGAGGCCGCCUGGCACGUGGGGCCGCCCAGCCUGCCCGCAUCUUGAAAACAGAGCAUCUCCCCUACCUGCCUCAGUUUCACCACUGGGUGGGUGGGGGAGGGAACCGUGAGGUGGGCGGUCCCACCAGCGCACGGCCCCUCCUUCUCCCCUUCCUGCUCCUGCUGGUGACCCUGCCUUGCCUGCCUGCCCCUCUGCAGCCCAGAGUAUGUGUCCCUGUUGCGAGGAACCCAGGCCUUGGGCACGGAGGAACUACGGGCGCUGUCUGGGCAGUACGAUGCUGUCUACUUCCACCCGAGUACCUUCCACUGUGCCCGGCUGGCCGCAGGCGCCGCGCUGCAGCUGGUGGAUGCUGUGCUGACAGGAGCCGCGCACAAUGGGCUUGCCCUGUUUUCACCCGCAGACCUCCGGGGCAUCACAGCCAGAGGGCUGCUGCCAACGGGUUCUGCGUGUUCAACAAUGUGGCCAUAGCGGCCAAACACGCCCAGCAGAAACACGGUCUGCAAAGGAUCCUCAUUGUCGACUGGGAUGUCCACCAUGGUCAGGGCAUCCAGUAUAUCUUUGAGGAUGAUCCCAGUGUUCUUUACUUCUCCUGGCACCGCUAUGAGCAUGGUUGCUUUUGGCCUUAUCUUCAAGAGUCAGAUGCAGAUGCUGUUGGGCUGGGGCAGGGCCGUGGCUUCACUGUCAACCUGCCCUGGAACCAGGUUGGGAUGGGAAAUGCUGACUAUAUGGCUGCCUUCCUGCAUGUGCUGCUCCCUGUGGCGUUUGAGUUUGACCCUGAGCUGGUGCUCGUCUCGGCAGGAUUUGACUCAGCAGUUGGGGAUCCUGAGGGGCAGAUGCAGGCCACGCCUGAGUGCUUCGCCCACCUCACGCAGCUGCUGCAGGUGCUGGCCGGCGGCCGGGUCUGUGCUGUGCUGGAGGGAGGCUACCACCUGGAGUCGCUGUCCCAGUCGGUGUGCAUGGUGGUGAAGGCGCUGCUGGGUGACCCUGCCCCGCCCCUGUCGGGGUCCAUGGUGCCUCGGCACAGUGCUCUGGAGUCCAUCCAGAGUGUCCGGGCAGCCCAGGCCCCUCACUGGACUAGCCUUCAGCAGCAAGGGCCGGCCCGCCUACUGAACCCCAGCACCUGCUCCCCAGAGGGGAGACGCCCACCUGUGUCGCCUGGGGGGCCCGGAUUCAAGGCAGCGGAGGCCCAGGGCUCGGCUGUACCGAGGUCCCUCCUGGACCAGCUGCACCUCUACCCCACACCCCCUGCCCGCACGGCUGCCGCCCUGAUGGCCCAGGAUGCUGCUCUGGUCCUACCGCCUGAUGUCCUCCGUCCAGAGGGGUCAGCCCCACAGGAGGAGACACAGGCCUGGGCCAGGCUACAUGAGGCCCUGGCCCAGGACACAGCUUUCAUUGCACUUGGAAAGGUCCUGCAUCUAUUGAACGGGAUCCUGGAUGGACAGGUGAGCAGUGGCAUCGCAACAACCCCAGCUGCGGCGGCCACCCUGGAGGUGGCCAUUCGGCGCGGCUUGUCCCACAGAGCCCAGAGGGUGCUCUGUGUGGCUGUGGGACAGCUGGAUCGGCCCCCAGACCUUGCCAGUGAUGGCCUUCCAUGUGUGCCCACGUGCUCACUCUCCCCUGGAAGGAGAAAUCUGUGGCUGAACAUCAGAGGCAAAGAAGCGGCUGCCCUGUCCAUGUUCCACGUGUCUGUGCCGCUCCCAGGGACAACAGGUGGGUUCUUGAGCUGCAUCCUGGCCCUUGUGCUGCCCCUGGCCUAUGGUUUCCAGCCUGACCUGGUGCUGGUGGCGCUGGGACCAGCCCAUGGCCUCCAGGACCCCCAAGCUGCACUCCUGGCUGCGCUCCUACGGGGACCAGCGGGGGGCCGAGUCUUGGUCCUAGUGGAGCAGGUGAGUUGGGCAGGGUGGACAUGCUGUGGGUGGGAGGUGGGGAGACCAGUGACUUGCUGCUUCCACCUCUACUCCUGGCCCAGGAAUCCACAUCCCAGCUUGCGGGGGUCCUGGCCCGGGUGUUGCAUGGAGAGGCACCCCCCAGCCUGGGUCCCUUCUCCAUGGCUUCCCCCGAGGACCUGCAGGCCCUGAUACACUUGAGAGGGCAGCUGGAAGCACAGUGGAAGAUGCUGCAGGUGGCCGCUCCUUCUUGAGUUCUGUGACCUGGUAGCUUGAACUCAGCCAGGGUGGAAGUCUUUGCACACCAGAAAUGACAAUACAUGCUAGUCCCCCAAGAGCCAUAAUUAAACAUUCGCCAGUACCCCACUGCCUGAGGCCUUUGUGCAGAGGGCUGGGCUAUGGAGUUGUCCAGGGCACUGGCUCAGGGGCACUCUGUCCACGGCAGUGACCUGGAGCCCCCAUCCAGUGGCCCACCUCUUCACGGAUGGCCCCAUCCUCAUUUCUCACACUUCUGUUAACCUUAAAAAUAAAAGUUAUUUUACCAGCAAAAA